UCAAUUUAAAAAGCGCCUGGACUAUAGUGUAUAUAGUUGACGAGGAGAGGGAGUAUCGAACGGUCGGCGGAUGCCCUCCGGUUGUAAGCAUGACAACCGUAAGACUUCUGAGUGAAAACAAAGAGGCAACUCUUUGCACAAAGCCAGAAGUAAGCAUGCCU
rnacentral:ncRNA from 2 species